UACGUAGGGGGCAAGCGUUGUCCGGAAUCAUUGGGCGUAAAGCGCGUGUAGGCGGUUCAGUAAGUCUGCUGUGAAAGUCCAGGGCUCAACCCUGGGAUGCCGGUGGAUACUGCUGGACUAGAGUGCGGAAGAGGCGAGUGGAAUUCCCGGUGUAGCGGUGAAAUGCGCAGAUAUCGGGAGGAACACCAGUGGCGAAGGCGACUACCUGGCCUGUUCUUGACGCUGAGGCGCGAAAAGCUAGGGGGAGCAAACGGG
rnacentral:rRNA from 1 species